UGGGAGAUCGUCUAACGGUAGGACAAACGGCUCUGGACCGUUGAAUCGGGGUUCGAAUCCCUGUCUCCCAGCCA
rnacentral:tRNA from 1 species